AUUGAACGCUGGCGGCAGGCCUAACACAUGCAAGUCGAGCGAGCGGCGGACGGGUGAGUAAUGUCUGGGAAACUGCAUGAUGGAGGGGGAUAACUACUGGAAACGGUAGCUAAUACCCCAUACCAUCAGAUGUGCCCAGAUGGGAUUUGCUGGUAGGUGGGGUAACGGCUCACCUAGGCGACGACCCCUAGCUGGUCUGAGAGGAUGACCAGACACACAUGAACUGAGACACGGCCCAGACUCCUACGUGAGGCAGCAGUGGGGAAUAUUGCACAAUGGGCGCAAGCCUGAUGCAGCCAUGCCGCGUGUGUGAAGAAGGCCUUCGGGUUGUAAAGCACUUUCGGCGGGGAAGCGUUACCCGCAGAAGAAGCACCGGCUAACUCCGUGCCAGCAGCCGCGGUAAUUC
rnacentral:rRNA from 1 species